AUUGAACACUGGCGGCAGGCCUAACACAUGCAAGUCGAGCGGAUGAAGGGAGCUUGCUCCUGGAUUCAGCGGCGGACGGGUGAGUAAUGCUUAGGAAUCUGCCUGGUAGUGGGGGAUAACGUCCGGAAACGGGCGCUAAUACCGCAUACGUCCUGAGGGAGAAAGUGGGGGAUCUUCGGACCUCACGCUAUCAGAUGAGCCUAGGUCGGAUUAGCUAGUUGGUGGGGUAAAGGCCUACCAAGGCGACGAUCCGUAACUGGUCUGAGAGGAUGAUCAGUCACACUGGAACUGAGACACGGUCCAGACUCCUACGGGAGGCAGCAGUGGGGAAUAUUGGACAAUGGGCGAAAGCCUGAUCCAGCCAUGCCGCGUGUGUGAAGAAGGUCUUCGGAUUGUAAAGCACUUUAAGUUGGGAGGAAGGGCAGUAAGUUAAUACCUUGCUGUUUUGACGUUACCAACAGAAUAAGCACCGGCUAACUUCGUG
rnacentral:rRNA from 1 species